rnacentral:rRNA from 16 species
GAAUCAGUGGGGAAAGAAGACCCUGUUGAGCUUAACUCUAGCCGACUUUGUGAAAUGACUUGAGAUGUGUAGGAUAAGUGGGAGCCCUUACGGGGGCAAGUGAAAUACCACUACUUUUAACGUUAUUUUACUUAUUCCGUGGGUCGGAAGCGGGGCAUGUCCCCUCCUUUUGGCUCCAACGCCCGAUUUUAUCGGGCAGAUCCGGGCGGAAGACAUUGUCAGGUGGGGAGUUUGGCUAGGGCGGCACAUCUAUUAAAAGAUAACACAUGUAUCCUAAGAUGAGCUCAACGAGAGCAGAAAUCUCGUGUGGAACAAAAGGGUAAAAGCUCGUUUGGUUAUGAUUUCCACUACGAAUACGAACCAUGAAAGCGUGGCCUAUUGAUCCUUUAGAUCUUCGGAGUUUGAAGCUAGAGGUGUCAGAAAAGUUACCACAGUGAUAACUGGCUUGUGGCAGCCAAGCAGUCAUAGCGAUGUUACUUUUUGAUCCUGCGAUGUCGGCUCUUCCUAUCAUUGUGAAGCAGAAUUCACCAAGUGUUGGAUUGUUCAAACACCUAUAGGGAACGUUAGCUGGGUUUAGACCGUCGUGAUACAGGUUAGUUUUACCCUACUGAUGACAGUGUCGCAAUUGUAAUUCAACCUAGUACCACAGGAACCGUUGAUUCACACAAUUGGUCAUCACGCUUGGUUGAAAAGCCAGUGGUGCGAAGCUACCGUGUGCCUGAUUAUGACUGAAUGCCUCUAAGUCAGAAUCCAAGCUAGCAUGCAACGCCUGCACCCACCGCUCGCCGCGACGCACGUUAGGGGCGCUUGCACCCCCAAGGGCACGUGCCAUUGGCUAAGCCGGUCCGACCGACGUGCCGUGAUCGGCCGCCUCGAAGCUCCCUUCCCAAAGGGCGGUGGGCUGAAUCCUUUGCAGACGACUUAAAUACGCGACGGGGCAUUAUAAGUGGCAGAGUGGCCUUGCUGGCACGAUCCACUAAGAUCCAGCCCCAUGUCGCAUGGAUUC